AGGUUACCUCUGAUGACGUUAGGAAAUGAAAUCAGGAAAUUCUGUAGAAACGAAAAGUUCGAAACAUUUUGGGGUCGAAGAUUGGCUGGUAGCUAUACUCUAAAAACAUCAUCUGUUUAUAAUCAGUGCUUUAAUGUUGUUGACGCUGACGAGGACGCGCGUUUUCAUCUGACGUUUUGAUGGCUUGCUGUGAAAGCAACAAGGGGAGUUUGGAGGAGGACAGCUAUGACAGAACUGUUGGUGGGGAGCUGUCUGACUGUGCCUGGGCAAUGCUAGAAAAAGAACGGGACUCACUUCUCAGCCCUUCAGAGAGUCCUGGCACCUUCAUCAGUGGUACCUCUAGCCUUCAGGCCACAGUCCCCCUCCAAGGCUAUGAUGUGGAGUUUGAUCCACCUCUAGAGAGUAAAUAUGAGUGUCCUAUCUGCCUCAUGGCUUUGAGGAAUGCCAUUCAAACACCCUGUGGUCACCGUUUCUGCAAGAACUGCAUUGAGAAGUCCAUUCGUGAUACAGGACAGCGGUGUCCUGUGGACAAUGCAGUUCUGUCACAGGACCAGCUCUUUCCUGAUAACUUUGCCAAACGGGAGAUUCUCUCACUGACUGUUAUCUGUCCAAACUCUGGCUGUGCUGAGAAAAUGGAGCUCCGACAUUUAGAUAAUCAUUUGGCACAGUGUCAGUUUGCCACAGUGCCCUGCCCACAGUGCCAGCAGUCUGUGAGAAAGAGCCACCUAGAGGAGCAUACGAUUCAUGAAUGCCAAAGAAGGCCUAUGUCAUGUCCAGAUUGUGUGGCAUGCUUUGUUUAUGAGGAGAGAGAGCUUCAUGAGCAGCAGUGUCCCUUUGCCAAUGUGAAGUGCCAGUACUGUGAGUUGGAUCUCAUCAGAGAUCAGGUGGAAUCUCACUGUGAUACAGAUUGCCCCAAAGCACCCAUUGCCUGUACUUUUAGCAUGUUCGGAUGUAAGGAAAGGAUGCAGCGCCACAACCUCGCUCAGCACAUGCAGGAGUUUACACAAAUGCAUAUGCGCUACAUGGCUGAAUUCCUGCGUGGCCUUAGCCUCAAUGGCACCACACCCAGAUCUCUGUGGACACUUGGAUCUCCUGUUUCCUCUGACGAGCAAGGAGCUGCAGUGUCCGUAUCAGCCCAUAGUGGGCCCAGAGGAGCUGCAGGCUGCUGUGUCAGCUGUGCUCCAUGUCAGCCUAACGAAGAGAUGCAGAGGCUCAGAGAGAUGGAUGGACGUUUGGUGAAGCAGGAUCACCAGCUGCGUGAGCUCAUCAUCUUAAAAGAAACACAGGCAGGCCAGCUGGCAGAGCUAAGGCGGAGGGUGUCACUGCUGGAAGAGACAGUAAAGGAGCUGGAGGCCCAGCAGUGUCAUGGUGUCUUCAUCUGGCGUCUCAAAGGUUUCUCUGUCCACCUGCGAAACCAAGAAGCAGGCCAGCCAGUGGUUGAGCACAGCCCUGGCUUCUACACAGGCUGCCCAGGCUAUAAGCUUUGCCUGCGUUUACACCUGCAAACCCCCAAUGCCCCACGCUGCUCCAACUACAUCUCCCUUUUUGUCCACACCAUGCAAGGAGCUUUUGAUGGGCAGCUGACCUGGCCAUUUCAAGGCACCAUACGGCUUGCUAUCCUCGACCAAGGCCCAGACGGUCAACACCACAUGGAGGUGAUGGAGACUAAGCCAGAUCUGCAAGCCUUCCAGAAGCCCACCAUCCCACGCAAUCCCAAAGGAUUUGGCUAUGUUACCUUUCUCCAUCUGCAUCAACUGAAUCAGAGAGCCUUUGUUAAAGAUGACGCUCUACUUAUCCGCUGUGAGGUGACACCACGUUUUGACAAUAUGCUUCAUCGUGAAGGACCAGCAGUGCAACCUAGAGGACCUGAGGCAUCAGUUUCAAAGGACUAAAGUCAAGCCCAUGUAUGGGGUUGUCAUCAUGCCAUGAUAUCAGUUCUGAUAUCAUGCCAUGAUAUCAGUUCUGAUCAUCCAUUUAAACUGAUGGUCAUGAAGAGUACUUGGAGAUAGUGCUCAAUAUUGAAGAUACCCUGUGCAGUUUUCUUUUUCCCCCCACAGAAUGAAUCUCGAUGUGACACAAUCAGUGGAAUGACUCUAAUACAUUAUGAGACAUUACUCCAACAAAAACUAUGCAUAUUGGUGAAUAAUUGAGUGUUUACAUGAAAACCUUUGAAAAGUAGCAUCAUCAGAAGGAAUAUGAAUAGUAAAACUGUAAUUCAUGUUUUCUCCAAAUUCAGCAUCUCAUGCUUCACUACUUUUGACUGUACUGUUCUUAGGACAGCACUGUGACAUAAGCAGGUAUAAAAAUGGCAGCACCCUUCUUAACAUGGAAGGUGUUCUGCAUUUCUUGGACUGAUUUACCUAAAUCUGACAUGAAUCAGUGUCAUUACUUUAAAACAAUAUGCUACCUGUAAAGGCAUGUAGGCAGUAGAUUUUUGUUUGUUCAUCAUAUGAAAUAAUGCUGGUGAUUUAACUGUCUUAAACAAUAAAUCUGGUCAUUUUCUAUAUUAGCAGUAUGUUCAACACUCCCUAUACGGAGACUAAAACCAGCAGUGAAUUGCCUCCACUCACUGUUAAUGUCUGUCAAUUCUGGAUUAUCUUAUUCGUCUGUGCAAUUUUCCUUCACUGAUGUUCAAAAACAAUUAAAAACACAUCAGAGAAGCACACUGCUGCACUAAGUGACAGUGAUCAUCGUUAUGAAAUACAAGACCCUGAUAUUGGCUCAGGAUAUCCAGAUAUCUGGUGUAUGGGCCCUGGACUCUUGCUUACUUUUGAUGCUGUAAAAGGUUAUGGCUGUUCAGAGCCUUUGGGGCAACAUUUCCAAAAAAUAUCAGGGUCUGUUGUUUUGUAAUGAGGAAACCAGCGCAAUGGUGUGUUUUUAAUUGUUUUUGAACAACAAUUGAGGUCCGCGGCACAGAUGAGUAAGAUAAUCCAGCAGUGACACUGACAGAUAAUAAUUGUGAGUGGAGGUAAAUCAUUGCUGGUUUUAGUCUCUGUAUGGGGAUUGUUUAAAAUGCUGUUAAUAUAGAAAGUCACCAGCUUUAUCCUUUAACAACGAUGAAUGUUAAUAAUCCAAUUGUUGGUGCUUUAUGAAUCGCAGUCUAUUAUCCUGUACUAAUGAAAAUAGCCUUAAAUUAAAGUUAAGCUUACAUAAACUCCCACUGACUGUAGUUUCUAACUUGUAAUAUUUUGUACUGACACCAUAAAUUGACACAAUUUUAAUA